GGAUCGGAAAGAUCUGAAAGCAAAAGGUUCAGACUGCAGUCACAGAAGUGCAAAGGCCCUGAGAUUACUGGUGCGGCACUGGUCUUGGUUGGAUUUGUCACUGUUACGAUAAAAUGAUGCAUCAAAGAAUCUGUUGGCGGCCUCCGCUUCCCACCGGAUCUGUCCUCCCUGCGGAAACAGCCCUGGCUGCCGAGCUGCUGCCAAACUCUAGGCAGCAGAAGGGACCCAGGAUGACUGAGAGGAGGAGCCUCGAGCAAUUCUACAGCCCAGCCCACCAGCACCAUCCUCAAGAAAGCUCUGCCUGAGCCUACCUCCAAGGCCUUCACUGGGCUCCAGUGCCUGCUCCUUCUCCUUGAAUUUGAACUCCAGGGCCAAACCACUAAUUAGGAAUUGGUGGGCUCAACCCAGAUCCAAUCAUCCCUGGAAAAUCCACCCAGCAGCCUCACUGGAGAGAGGUCUUCUUGGACUAAACUUUUCCAAGCCAUGAGCCACCCCGCCUUGCUCUCCAGACCAGCCGAACUGCUGAACUUUUUCUCCACCGCAGUCCUAUUUCCUAAUCUCCUUUUAAAUUUGGUAACUUACAAUUCAUUGCACUUUCCCCACUGGAAUGAAUACCAGCUCCUCAAGGGCAGGAGUUUUGCUGCAUUCCAGAGGCACUCAGUAAAUGUUUGAGGAAUCAAUGUAG